AGUGAACGCUGGCGGUAGGCCUAACACAUGCAAGUCGAACGGCAGCACAGUAAGAGCUUGCUCUUACGGGUGGCGGGUGGCGGACGGGUGAGGAAUACAUCGGAAUCUACUUUUUCGUGGGGGAUAACGUAGGGGAACUUACGCUAAUACCGCAUACGACCUACGGGUGAAAGCAGGGGAUCUUCGGACCUUGCGCGGUUGAAUGAGCCGAUGUCGGAUUAGCUAGUUGGGGGGGUAAAGGCCCACCAAGGCGACGAUCCGUAGCUGGUCUGAGAGGAUGAUCAGCCACACUGGAACUGAGACACGGUCCAGACUCCUACGGGAGGCAGCAGUGGGGAAUAUUGGACAAUGGGCGCAAGCCUGAUCCAGCCAUACCGCGUGGGUGAAGAAGGCCUUCGGGUUGUAAAGCCCUUUUGUUGGGAAAGAAAAGCAGCAGGUUAAUACCCCGCUGUUCUGACGGUACCCAAAGAAUAAGCACCGGCUAACUUCGUG
rnacentral:rRNA from 1 species